UACGGGAGGCAGCAGUGGGGAAUAUUGCACAAUGGGCGCAAGCCUGAUGCAGCCAUGCCGCGUGUAUGAAGAAGGCCUUCGGGUUGUAAAGUACUUUCAGUCGUGAGGAAGGUGUUAAGGUUAAUAACCUUAGCAAUUGACGUUAGCGACAGAAGAAGCACCGGCUAACUCCGUGCCAGCAGCCGCGGUAAUACGGAGGGUGCGAGCGUUAAUCGGAAUUACUGGGCGUAAAGGGCACGCAGGCGGUUAAUUAAGUUGGAUGUGAAAUCCCCGGGCUUAACCUGGGAAUGGCAUUCAAGACUGGUUAGCUAGAGUCUUGUAGAGGGGGUAGAAUUCCAUGUGUAGCGGUGAAAUGCGUAGAGAUGUGGAGGAAUACCGGUGGCGAAGGCGGCCCCGUGGACAAAGACUGACGCUCAUGUGCGAAAGCGUGGGGAGCAAACAGGAUUAGAUAC
rnacentral:rRNA from 1 species